rnacentral:rRNA from 1 species
ACAGCAGUAGCCACGGUAACACGAAGGGGGCUAGCGUUGUUCGGAAUUACUGGGCGUAAAGCGCACGUAGGCGGACAUUUAAGUCAGGGGUGAAAUCCCGGGGCUCAACCCCGGAACUGCCUUUGAUACUGGGUGUCUAGAGUAUGGAAGAGGUGAGUGGAAUUCCGAGUGUAGAGGUGAAAUUCGUAGAUAUUCGGAGGAACACCAGUGGCGAAGGCGGCUCACUGGUCCAUUACUGACGCUGAGGUGCGAAAGCGUGGGGAGCAAACAGGAUUAGAUACCCGCGUAGUCCCUGUCUCUUAUAC